UAUUUUGAAAUAGAAAUGCAUCACAGAUUCUUGUUGUGGACGAAUACAUAAAUUUGAAAAAGCAACAGUGCUUGGCAAAUCUAAUAACAGAAUAUUAAAUAUUGUUAAAAAAGAAAAAGAAAACAUGAUUCUAUAUGUGGCAAUUUGUAACAAACUUUUGAUUGAAGUUACAAGAAUAGAACAAUCCUGUGUUUGUCACAAGAAAAGUUUCUGAAGUAAAUAUUCAUGAUUUGUUACAAUUUAAAGUUUUCAAAAAUAAAUAUUUUUCAUUGUUUUAAAAUUCAGUAGAAAUUAGUGGUUGUUUUUUCAGCUUACAAUAUCUGAAGGAGGAGAAUGUUAAAAUAAAUAAAUGUUUCAAAAUAUCAAGCAAAAAUAGUAAGCAAGAAUAUUCUUUUUGGGAAAAGGAUAAGAAUACUGCUUUUUUUAUGAUUGUCAUUAAGUUUCAGACAAAAAGUCCUAAUCACAUUGUACAACUGAAAUAAAGUUUUGGAAGAAAGAGAUGCUAGAUAUACAAAUCUUAAUUUGUAACAGAAAAAUGGUGGAUUGGGUUUUAAAUUCUUAGGCCUCCAUAUUAGUUUUGAAAACAA
rnacentral:lncRNA from 1 species